ACCCAGCCCAUUGCCACCCCUCCGGCUUAACAAAUGCAACUUCUGUUCUAAACCGUCCAUUUGAUGGUCACUAACUGUUACCAUUGGAUCGGUGUUCUUUUCGUCAUAUAUUCUACCCACAAUAGAAACUACGAUUUGGACGAUCCAGAUUGGUAUGCAUAUAUCAUGUGUACGGUAACUGAUCUAAGCUGCCACCAUUACUAAAUGCACCGAAACGCACACCAUAACCAUCAAGCUCACAACUUUCAUUCACAUUUAUUUCCUGUAAAACGCAAAAAAGCGGAGAGAAAUCAAAAUAGUCUCCAGUUAUGAGAGGAGAAGAAACAGGGUCGAAGCUCGUUCGUCUGCUCUCUUUCGUUGGUGCAGCUGUCAUCUGCACGGCUGCGAUCAAUCUAUGGCGGGAUUUCGACCGGAAGGCCGCUCAUCAGACAGCGGGGGUGCCCGAUAAGAAGCCGUCUGCCACGGAAUUGGUAAACGAAGCUAGCGAAUCGUAGUUGUGUUCUUUUUCUGUCUUUCAAUGCGAAAAUUUUGAUAAUUUUCACUAUAUCCUUUAUGUCAAUAUGUUUAAUGUUUUGACUCUUUGAUUUCUGAAAUUGGAGUUUUUCCUUUUUGCAUGUUCUUGUUGUGAAUUAUUGUAUCGUAGAACCUAAUUUCACAAGUCUAGACAUCUUUGCACGGUA